CCUACGGGUGGCUGCAGUAGGGAAUCUUUCACAAUGGGCGAAAGCCUGAUGGAGCAACGCCGCGUGCAGGAUGAAGGCCUUCGGGAUGGUAACUGCUUUUAUAAGCGAGACAUAUGAUGGUAACUUAGGAAUAAGGAUCGGCUACUACGUGCCAGCAGCCGCGGUCAUACGUAGGAUCCGAGCAUUAUCCGGAGUGACUGGGUGUAAAGAGUGGCGUAGGUGGGGUAAUAAGUAGCUAGUGAAAUCUGGUGGCUCAAACAUCCAGACUAUCGUCUAAACUGUUAAGCUCGAGACCGUUAGGGGUAACUGGAAUUUCUAGUGUAGGGGUGAAAUCCGUAGAUAUUAGGAGGAACACCGAUUGCGUAGGCAGGUUGCUGGGACGGUUCUGACACUGAGGCACGAAAGCGUAGGGAGCGAACAGGAUUAGAUACCCUUGUAGUC
rnacentral:rRNA from 1 species